AAGACUGUACUUUCAGGGAUCAUUUCUAUAGUUCGUCACAUUACACACUUUCAUUGUGGUACACCACUGCAAAGAGGAAUUACAUGAUCACUUGCAUGUGACAGCUGCAGA
ensembl:snoRNA U3 Small nucleolar RNA U3